AAAAAAAAAAAAAAAAAAAAAAAAGUGGGUCCAACAACUGCUAGCUGAUACAAAGAAGACUAAUCUAAGAUCAACUGGAAUAACAGAAAAAUCAGAAGACAGCAAGAAUGGCAUUAAAAAAUCUAUUUACAGAAAUAAGAGCAGGAGACAUCUUAAGUAUAAGAAAAGAAAUAAAAAUACAGAUACAUGAGGCAUAUAGAACCCUAAAUAGCCAUGAUCGUAAGAGAAGCUCUCCAUGUUAAAAAAUUAAAAGUAGAAAUUACAUUCCACCUAGCUAUUCCCCUUCUAGGUGUCUUCCUGGAAGAACUAAAGUCCUCACGUUACAAUGAUACAUGUACACCCAUGUUUAUAGCAGCACAAUUCACAAUAGCUAGAUUUGAAGUGGCUAGUAUGUCCAUCAUACAGAUAAAUGUAUAAAGAAAAUUUGACAUUUAUAUGAAAUGGACUCUCAGUAUGCCAUAAGAAAGGAUAAAGAUGAGCCAUUUAUAGGAAAAUAGGUACAUCAUGAGAUCAUAGUCUUGUGAUAUAAAUCUGACACAGAAGCUUAAUUAUUGCCUUAUAUUAUGAAGCCAAAGUAUAAAGAGCAAAAUAAAACCUGGAGAAUAGGAAAUAGAGGGCUCUUCAUCACAUGGGAAGGGAAUCAAGAGAGAGAGAGGGAAGGGGGAGGAAGAAGGAAAUGAGGAAAAAAUAGAACUGUGAUGUAUUAGAUACAUGUACCAAGUCUUUAUGGAUGCGGUCAGUAAGUACUACAAACGUACACGAAAGAGUCCAAGAAAUGGAGCGGGGAGGAGGAGGGAGAAGAAGGAAGUGGUUUAAAAGAGAAUUAAGAAAAAUAAGACACACUAGAGAACCCCCAUGUCCUUCUCACCACAUGAAGACACUGCCUACAAACUGUGAAGCAGACCCUCACCAAACACUAAAUCUAAUGGCGCCUCCCUCCUUUCUAGCCCCUAGAACUGGGAGAACUACCGUCAUGUUGUUCACUAACACAGAGUCUGUGGUGUUUGUUUCAGCACCUGAACAAGCUACGUCAUAUAGAGCUCAUAAUGAUCAUCCUUUGCAUUGCUCUAUAUAUGAGUUUUUUAGGAGACAAUCUGUAGAACUGGCAAUAAAUCAAGGGAAGAAUUGUGAAAUCUUUCCAGAGCAUUUGAAGCUCUUCUAAACUGUGAUUUAUCACCAUGAGAACUUGAUGGCCUAGCUAUUUUUUGUAUUUCACAUUCAUUGUUUUAUGCGUGUCUGCAUUUAUACAUUGUUGUGCUGUCUUUAAUAAUGAUUUCUCUGGAGAAGGAUCCCUUUCAUACAAAAAAAAUGUGUGGAAACAAUAAAACAAAAGGAAAUGCUUCAUGUCUCAUGAAACAGUGUUGCUUGCAUGUACUUUUGCUGUCGUCCCCGGAUGCCUUGGUUGACCACUUUUGCUCUGUUUAUCCGAAUGAGAGAUGAGGUAGGCUAUGUACAACAAGGGCUCCUCACGAGGGACACCAAGGGCAUCCCGAUACAGAUCAUUCAUGGUAGGGGAGUGCACUGGGGGUUGUAAGAAAUUAAGUGACAUUUAUGACUUCUAGAACAAGAUGCCAGUAGUCACCUCCACCCCACUCGCCACAAGCAAAAUGAUCUCC
ensembl:lincRNA